GGACCCUGGGAUCAUGACCUGACCCGAAGACAGACGACUGAGCCACCAGAAGGAAGAGCUGAACACACAGGAGCUGGUGCCUUAAGGGAGUGGGAGUCAGGAAAUUUGAUGAGAUGGAGGGCCAAGGAGAAGGUAGACCUCAAGGCCUGAAGUCAUCAGAGUGCAACGUCUCUAGGCCAAGUCUGUGAGACAAGUAGGACACCUAUUACUGUGAUCUCUGCUUUAUGUAUGAGAAAAGGAGUUUCCAACAGAAACUAAACCCAGGUAGGAAAAGUGUCUCAAGGAAGACAAAGCACAGGGCCAAGGAAGACUGUGGGAGACAGCGACCUGCUGAGGAACCAGAGCUGCAGAAUCACUGGGACUCACAGAGAGUGAGCACAGGCAGAGUGGCAGACAGAGGCAGAGGGAGAA